UUACGGCCACAUCACCAUGAAACACUAAUUCCUGUACGAUCACCGAAAUUAAGCAACGUCGUGCCUCAUCAGUAACUAAAUGGGUGACCGCCUGGGAAUACCAGU